UACGUAGGGAGCGAGCGUUGUCCGGAAUUAUUGGGCGUAAAGAGCUCGUAGGCGGCCAGUUGCGUCCGCUGUGAAAUCCCGGGGCUUAACCCCGGGCGUGCAGUGGAUACGGGCUGGCUAGAGGCAGGCAGGGGAGAACGGAAUUCCCGGUGUAGCGGUGAAAUGCGCAGAUAUCGGGAGGAACACCGGUGGCGAAGGCGGUUCUCUGGACCGCAACUGACGCUGAGGCGCGAAAGCUAGGGGAGCAAACAGG
rnacentral:rRNA from 1 species